UACGUAGGGCGCAAGCGUUGUCCGGAAUUAUUGGGCGUAAAGAGCUCGUAGGCGGCUUGUCACGUCGGGUGUGAAAGCCCGGGGCUUAACCCCGGGUCUGCAUUCGAUACGGGCUGGCUAGAGUGUGGUAGGGGAGAUCGGAAUUCCUGGUGUAGCGGUGAAAUGCGCAGAUAUCAGGAGGAACACCGGUGGCGAAGGCAGCUCGCUGGGACGGUACUGACGCUGAGGCGCGAAAGCGUGGGGAGCGAACAGG
rnacentral:rRNA from 1 species